AGUGAACGCUGGCGGUAGGCCUAACACAUGCAAGUCGAACGGCAGCACAGUAAGAGCUUGCUCUUACGGGUGGCGAGUGGCGGACGGGUGAGGAAUACAUCGGAAUCUACUUUUUCGUGGGGGAUAACGUAGGGAAACUUACGCUAAUACCGCAUACGACCUACGGGUGAAAGCAGGGGAUCUUCGGACCUUGCGCGAUUGAAUGAGCCGAUGUCGGAUUAGCUAGUUGGCGGGGUAAAGGCCCACCAAGGCGACGAUCCGUAGCUGGUCUGGGAGGAUGAGCAGCCACACUGGAACUGAGACACGGUCCAGACUCCUACGGGAGGCAGCAGUGGGGAAUAUUGGACAAUGGGCGCAAGCCUGAUCCAGCCAUACCGCGUGGGUGAAGAAGGCCUUCGGGUUGUAAAGCCCUUUUGUUGGGAAAGAAAAGCAGCAGGUUAAUACCCCGCUGUUCUGACGGUACCCAAAGAAUAAGCACCGGCUAACUUCGUG
rnacentral:rRNA from 1 species